GCCCUUUGUCUUCAGCUACCAGGGCGGGUAGGGAAUGAGCUUCAGGUGGUGGCAGGGCUCUGCCCCCAUCAGCAUUCUGCAUGCCCUGUGGAGGAAGGCAGAAGUAAUGUUCUACGUUUAUGCCUUCUGGCAUGGAAGGAGAGCACUCUUCAGUUAGAGUCUAAGCUGGAGCAUGUUAUAGUAUGGUUCUCUUCAUCAGCUUGGGGUGCAAAUGAAGUCACGUUCUUUAGUGUGGUUUUUUUUUCAAUUAGUAACCCAAGCAGGAAGUCUUCUGCUUGAGACCGCCCCACUCCUGAAUUGUCUGAUGGCACCAAGGGUAAAUUACUUCAUUCAAGUCAUUCUGCUUCUAAGUGCCAGUUGGAGGGUUGAAUAGGAAAAUUUGGAAGCUGGUGGUGGUCCUGCACAAUGCUCAAAAACACUUUCCCACUGAAGUGAUGCUUACAGGCCAGGAUCCCUGAAGGGCUAGUGUUGCCCAUCUUUGGGGCUUCCUGCUUCCACUCCUGCAGGCCACACCCACUUGUGAACCAAAUCCACUGUGGGAAGUGGUUCCAAAGUCAGCUGCCAGUCCCAAUUCCACAUGGUGCCUAUACACUUGGCCCCUAGUGUUGGGCUGGGUUGACUUCUCCUUCCAAUACAGUGAGUUCCACUUCAGGGACUUUGGAGUCCUUUCUGACCCAUGGACCUCAGCUGGGACCAUCCUAACCUCUCAGUUUGAUUCUAAUCAAGUUGAUUCUGAAAACGAAAGUCACCAGCAUCUCAAUCCCUUUCAUUCCAAAACAUUCCUGAUUCCUCCACAGCAUCAUUCUUCUUCUACAAUGUGAUCACCUGUGCACACCAAAUGAUGUCUUCAUGAAGCAGUCUUCAUCAACCACAAAUUUUCCAUUUUAUUCCUUCCUUAGGAUACUUGGUACCUCCUCAUCCUAGAAUAUGUAAUUUAGAGGCAUCUUCCCAGUGAUUCCUCAAAGGUCUGCCAAAGUGAAUUCUUGGCCCACCUUUUUGAAAAAGAAUUGCUGGAAAAUGUUCUUACUAAAAAUAUUAAGUUCUUGGGCUGGGUGCAGUGGCUCAUGCCUGCAAUCCCAGCACUUUGCGAGGCCGAGGCAGGAAGAUCACUUGAGGCCAAGAGUUUGACACCAGUUUGGGCAACAUAGCGAGACACUAUCUCUGCAAAAAAAAAAAAAAAAAAGAAAGAAAUUAACUGGACAUGGUGGCACAUACCUGUAGUCCUAGCUACUCAGGAGGUUGAGGCAGGAUAAUAACUUAAGCCCAGGAGUUUGAGGCUGCAGUGAGCCAUGAUCAU
rnacentral:lncRNA from 10 species